rnacentral:lncRNA from 1 species
UAAUAUAUAUAGUAUAUUAAUUAUUAUAUAUUUAUUAUAUAGUCGAAUUUUUGAUUCGGAAUUUUUAAUUGGUGAACGUAUAAUACCCGUAUAUAUUACGUAUCCGAAUAACUGUCAAAUCCGUUUUUAGCCGUAGUUUUCAACGAAUUUAAAAAUUAAAAGACGAAUUUUAUCCGAAUUAUAUCUGUACCGAAUUUUUGCCGAAUCUGAAUUAACUAACUAUGCCUCCAAUCACUAAGAUUGGUUUAGCUGCGAUCAAUCUCAUCUGUUCAUCUGCUCGCUCCCAACGUGCUUAAUUAAUUAAUUGAUAUUUGAAGGGCAAAUAAGAAAAAUAUUUGUUAUAUGAAUGAUAUAUAAGAUAAGUGAGUUACGGUACGAGGGUAUAUUGGAAUGGGCAAAAUGGUAAUUUUUCAGAGAUAACAGCAGCUAACUGACGGAACUUAACUCCAGGGGUAUAUUAGAAAGACUUGGAACAUAAGAAGGGUAUUUUCAAUAUUAGCCUUCUAAGAGGGGUAAAUAAGAAAACCGGGAACUUUUCAGUGGGAUAUAUGCAAUUGCCCCAUAUAUAUAUAUAUAUAUAUAUAUAUAUAUAUAUAUAUAUAUAUAUAUAUA